rnacentral:rRNA from 1 species
UACGGAGGGUGCGAGCGUUGUUCGGAAUUACUGGGCGUAAAGGGCGCGUAGGCGGGCCCGUCGGUCAGGGGUGAAAGCCCGCGGCUCAACCGCGGAAGUGCCCCUGAUACCGCGGGCCUCGAGGGGGGUAGGGGCGCGCGGAACUUCCGGUGGAGCGGUGAAAUGCGUAGAUAUCGGAAGGAACACCGGUGGCGAAAGCGGCGCGCUGGGCCCCCUCUGACGCUGAGGCGCGAAAGCCAGGGGAGCAAACGGG